AACGAACGCUGGCGGCAGGCUUAACACAUGCAAGUCGAACGAUGUAGCAAUACAUAGUGGCGCACGGGUGAGUAACGCGUGGGAAUAUACCUUAUAGUGGGAAUAACUUUGGGAAACUAAAGCUAAUACCGCAUACGCCCGAGAGGGGAAAGAUUUAUCGCUAUAAGAUUAGCCCGCGUGAGAUUAGGUAGUUGGUGGGGUAAUGGCCUACCAAGCCUACGAUCUCUAGCUGGUCUGAGAGGAUGAUCAGCCACACUGGAACUGAGACACGGUCCAGACUCCUACGGGAGGCAGCAGUGGGGAAUAUUGGGCAAUGGACGAAAGUCUGACCCAGCCAUGCCGCGUGAAUGAUGAAGGCCUUAGGGUUGUAAAGUUCUUUCGCCGAUGAAGAUAAUGACGGUAGUCGGAGAAGAAGCCCCGGCUAACUUCGUGCCAGCAGCCGCGGUAAUGUCGUACGAU
rnacentral:rRNA from 1 species